rnacentral:rRNA from 1 species
UACGUAGGGUGCAAGCGUUAAUCGGAAUUACUGGGCGUAAAGCGUACGCAGGCGGCUGGGUAAGACGGAUGUGAAAUCCCCGGGCUUAACCUGGGAACUGCAUUCGUGACUGCUCAGCUAGAGUCUGUCAGAGGGGGGUGGAAUUCCACGUGUAGCAGUGAAAUGCGUAGAGAUGUGGAGGAACACCGAUGGCGAAGGCAGCCCCCUGGGAUAAGACUGACGCUCAUGUACGAAAGCGUGGGGAG